UAUAUUUACAUAUUACGAUGGUCUAAUUAACCAUCGAGUUCUCAAGAAAAUGAAAUUUCUAGAUGCCAGGUCUUGGCCCAGAGAACCCUAAUCUACACAAUACAUCAUCUAUGACAUGCUCUUACAAUUCCAAUAAGACAAACGCAGUUGCAUUCCAAGUUAGGAAGAACUUGUGUUCUCAUGCAUAACCCAGCACUAGAAGGUGACAAAAGACAAUUGGCCUCGUUUAAGGAAGGUGUGUGAUGGUCCCGUUUCAACACUUCUAGAGGACCAAUACCAUGUGGUGGCUUUAUGGUGCUUAACAGAAGUAAGUGUUUGAUGUGUUAACACCCGGUAUUAUUAGUACUCCUGUUGACAAAGACCUCUGACAUUAACUGUUGCCUUGACCCAAGAGUGAUAAGGCUCACUCACCAUCGUCAGACUCCCGGUCCUCAUCCAAUUUCUUACUUUGUUUACACGCCACACACGUGCAGGUCUCUCUCUCUCUCUGAAUGUUGAGUGGCAGGACGUGACCAAGGAGCCACCUCCACAAGAUUACUCUUAGUGUUGCAACCCGUCUUCCUGCUACAUUCAUCAUUUCAGAAUUUAAGGCGAUGUCUUGGCCGGUGAUCUGUGUGGGUGAGAAAGACACCCAGUCCCCCCACGCCCACACUGCCUCCCCACCAUCGUCCACAGGGUCGGGCUGCUCAUCACCAUCACAUUCAUAGCACCAGUGAUAGGAAAGCAAAGAUGUAUAUACAGAAGAAACAGAAGCUUUACAAGGGUGGCUGCAGGAUGUGUGGACAGCGAAAAUCACACCAAGAAGAACCAAAGAAGACACACCCGCCACUUCUAUACAAAGGUCGCGAAGUGGCCCAGGAAUCUCCAGCUAAAAAUACGCGCCAUACCGGAGCAGUGCGGCCCAGCGUGCACCCCGCCAACUGCAACCAACAUUUCGCACACUGAUGAUGGAAACUGCAUCUCUGAAACGUUUGCAAUUGCAAUAAUGAAGUUCUCAUCCGCAAUGGUUUUCUUCUUCCUAAUAAGAUUUCGUUUCCCACCGGACUCACCUAUAACCCAUUACAUAUUGAAGAAAUGUGGAAAGAAUACCCUGGACCUCUACACGUUUCUGUUCCAAGAAAGUGGAAAAAGACUAAAAUUCCUCGAUAUAUGAAUAUAUGUAUAUAUAUGUAUACAUAUAUAUGUAUGCAUAUUAUAAAUAUAUUUAUGUAUAUUAUAUAUAUAUACAUAUAAUACAUAUAUAUAUAUUAUAUACAUAUAGAUACAUAGAGAUACAUGGAUAAAUAGAUAACCAGAUAGGUGUGUGUGUGUUUAUAUAUAUUCUGUAUAUGCAUGGCAACGACCCCUGAACCUUGAAGUGAUUUGGAGUCCCCUCCACUCAACGAUGGAACGCUCUGACUGCUCUUCCAUCAGCCACUUGGAUGCUUCUUGUAUUUAGAUUUAUCAUAUUUUUGUAUAUUGUCUUUUCCUUAAAAUGUCUGUAUAUUCGCUGAUUAAGCAAACAUACGAAUAAAAAAUGAAAGGCUUAAAGAUUACGUCAUAAUACAUAUUAAAAAGAGAAAGAGAAACUCUGUCUAGUGAGCGUGACGAUGAGGAAGGCGGCCCAACCAAGGCCCGCCAUCACGUGCAUGUUGACGAAGGGGGAUUCAUACUCAGUGAACGUUACAAGCAUAGAUACAGUGAUACUAAUUACGGUCACUGAUAUAUCAGAACAGUUCCUUCUCUCAGACAUUUUGGUAAUCAGUAUUGUUUAAGUAGACCUUUAAUUAAUAGUCAUCUAAAACAACCCUCUUAUCUUAACCCAAUGCCGUCGGGGAAAAUGAACAAAAAAUGGGGAAAAUGCUGUGCCCGUUUUCUAUAUUUUUUGUGAAAUGUCUGCUCAUAGAUGGCUCUGCUAGUGCUUAGCC